CCAAUAGCGUAUAUUAAAGUUGUUGCAGUUAAAAAGCUCGUAGUUGAAUUUCGGGAUCAAUAUAUCGGUCGUGCCUUGGUACGUACUGGUAUCAUUGGUUUCUCCUUUCUGACGAACCAUGAUGUCAUUAAUUUGGGGUUAUGGGAAGUUAGGACUGUUACUUUGAAAAUAUUAGAGUGUUUACAGCAGGCUUUAGCUUGAAUACAUUAGCAUGGAAUAAUGACAUAGGACGUUCGAACCUAUUUUGUUGGUUUCUAGGAUCAACGUAAUGAUUAAUAGGGAUAGUUGGGGGCAUUAGUAUUCAAUUGGAAGAGGUGAAAUUCUUGGAUUUAUUGAAGACUAACUACUGCGAAAGCAUUUGCCAAGGAUGUUUUCAUUAAUAAAGAACGAAAGUUAGGGGAUCGAAGACGAUAAGAUGCCGUCGUAGUCUUAACCAUAAACUAUGCCGACUAGGGAUCGGAUGAUGUUAAUUUUUUAAUGACUCAUUCGGCGCCUUACG
rnacentral:rRNA from 1 species